rnacentral:lncRNA from 1 species
CUCGCCCAAAGAAAAUAAUCUAAUAUCAUAGAAUGUAUCCAAAAUAAUAAAGAAUAGUACACAGAAAAUUAUUAUCCAAUUCCGAUAAUAAAACACCUACAAAUGAGGGCCUCGCCAAGGAAAAAUGAUCUAUAACGACUCACCCAGCUGGUGAACAACUACAAGCAGGAUAACGACUCACCCCUAGACGUGAUCUCAACGUAUUCACCACCUAAUCCCUGAAACACAUUCACCACCAAGAAAAGAACUAGUAUCAAGAAACGCAUCACAUGCAACUAGUUCGGGGGACAUAUAGCAGGAACACAAAAAUUCUCGAUUACAUGGCGAGAGCAAUUUAGCAUGAAUUUUUCCCAUCUUCUUGAACGAAAUUGGAUCCUCUUAGCCUUC